rnacentral:lncRNA from 1 species
CUUAGAUCCCCUAUCACUCGCCAGCCUCUUGUCCUGCUUUUCUUCACAGCUCUUUUUUGUUGGAUAUCAUACACCUAUUUGUUAUUUGGCUCCUCUUCUAUAAUGUAACUCCAAGAGGUUUUGUUUAUUUUGUUCUUUGUUGCAUUCCAAACACCAAGAGCCAUGCCUGCCACACACUAAAAGAUCGGUAGUGUUUUCUGAAUGAAUAUAUAUGUGGUAGGUAGGCCCAGGUUGCAAGGGACACAUGCUUUUCUCAGUUUGUAUCACACUGCUGAAGACUGCAGGAGGAGAUGAAUGGGGGGCCAGUAGGAGAAGGAAUAAGGAGGAAGAACAGAAUAACAGAGGGAGAGAGAAGUCAACAAGAAGGCUGGUGGUGUACACUGGAGGUGAGGAUGAGGCAU